CUGUUGUCCAUGCAGUAUGUAUAGUAUAAAACAAAUUGGUUGAUCAUAUUGAAUAAAGAUUGCUAACAUAUUUCAGGGGCUGACAAAAAUAGAUUUUGUUCCCCCAUUUGCGAAUUUGUCCAAGAAAGUGGGAAAGCUCGUACCAGGCUGCACUGAUCAACCAUUGAACGGCGAAGCAUGCAUGUCUGUACUAUAUCUAAGAAUUUAAGUACAAUGAACAUACUAUAGUCUCUCUCUCUCUCUCUCUCUCUCUCUCUCUCUCUCUCUCUCUCUCUCUCUGUCUCUCUCUCUCUGUCUCUCUCUCUGUCUCUCUGUCUCUCUCUCUCUGU
rnacentral:lncRNA from 1 species